rnacentral:misc_RNA from 1 species
AUUGGAUAUUACAUUGGCAGUCAUUUAUUCAAUUCCAUUGCAGGGUGAAAAGGUAUAAAACAGCAUAAGAAGUUCACAAUGUGAUUAUGAGUUACAAAUUUGAUCACAAUGUAACACAAAUGUCCUUGUUGUCCUUGAUUUCAUUUACAGGAUAUUAUUCUAUGGACUUUAUAGCCUCAAAAUUGGUUAUCAAAAUUAUGAAUUUUAUUUCUUCUUCUAUCCCUGUGAAAAAUUGUGUUUCCAACUUUGCAUGAGCCUGCGAAUUUAUAUAUGGGAGAGAAGAAAUGAAACUGCUAUAUUUUUAAUCCAUGGAGUUUUAGUAGUUCAAUUUGUAUAAUUUGUUUGUCCAAUUUUUUUGGCUUAAAAAGGAGAUACAUUGUUUUUCUAAACAAUGCAAGUUAUAUUUAAUAUGGUUGUCUCAUUGGUCAUCUCCUUAGAUUUAAUAGAUUCUGUAUCUGCUUUUGCUUUUCUAACCUUUAAUAGUUCCUUGCAAUGAAACAAUGAAGAGUUUUGAGACCCCACAAUUGAGAAAGUUUUGUUCUUCUGCAGAGGAGUUGGGUGGUGGUGGUGG